rnacentral:rRNA from 1 species
CAGUCGCCGCGGUAACACGAAGGGGGCUAGCGUUGCUCGGAAUGACUGGGCGUAAAGGGCGCAUAGGCGGCGGCCAAAGUCAGGCGUGAAAUCCCCGGGCUCAACCUGGGACCCGCAUUUGUGACUGUAUAGCUAGAGUACGGUAGAGGGGGAUGGAAUUCCGCGUGUAGCAGUGAAAUGCGUAGAUAUGCGGAGGAACACCGAUGGCGAAGGCAAUCCCCUGGACCUGUACCGACGCUCAUGCACGAAAGCGUGGGGAGCAAACAGGAUUAGAUACCCCCGUAGUCCCUGUCUCUUAUAC